rnacentral:rRNA from 1 species
AACGAACGCUGGCGGCAGGCUUAACACAUGCAAGUCGAGCGCCCCGCAAGGGGAGCGGCAGACGGGUGAGUAACGCGUGGGAAUCUACCCUUUUCUACGGAAUAACGCAGGGAAACUUGUGCUAAUACCGUAUGAGCCCUUCGGGGGAAAGAUUUAUCGGGAAGGAUGAGCCCGCGUCGGAUUAGCUAGUUGGUGGGGUAAUGGCCCACCAAGGCGACGAUCCGUAGCUGGUCUGAGAGGAUGACCAGCCACAUUGGGACUGAGACACGGCCCAAACUCCUACGGGAGGCAGCAGUGGGGAAUAUUGGACAAUGGGCGCAAGCCUGAUCCAGCCAUGCCGCGUGAGUGAUGAAGGCCUUAGGGUUGUAAAGCUCUUUCACCCACGACGAUAAUGACGGUAGUGGGAGAAGAAGCCCCGGCUAACUUCGUGCCAGCCGCCGCCGUAAGAC